CAGCAGAAUUCCUCACCUCUCUCUCUCUGUUUUUUUUCUCUGUAAAUUUUCAUGGAGAUCGAGUCUGCUCAUUGACUUCCCCUCUCUCAUAUCUUUCAUUAUUUGUUCUCAAUCUUCCUCCAUCGUCUUCUUCUACAAAGUCUCCAGAUCCAUAAGAUGGAGUACAAGUCAAUACCCUCAAAAAAAUAAUCGAUUUCAAUGGUAGUCUGUGCUUUCAAUUGUAAAAUCCUUCUCACUACCAACCGGGGUGCGGAUUACUUCAACUGGUUCCUAUUGUGAUUCCUGAUGAUGAUGGUGUAGUGGUUGUGAUGAAGCAGAAGAUGGUCAGUUUGCUAAGAAGAUUUCUCGAUACACUGUUGUCUGUUUUGUGAGGUCAGGGAUAUUCUGAUAUCAUGAGUUGAUGUUGUUUCUGUUUGGGUGGUGGUUGAGAAGGAAUUUCAUUGUUUCAGUUCGGCUGGUGAUUUUGAAGUAUUUUAUGAAAGGGGUAUCAUUGGUAGGUUGAGUUCAAUUUUUAUUCCAUUAUAUUUAUUGAAAUUUCUAGUUUGAUUACAUAUUUUAGAUUGAAUUCUAAUGGAUUAUAUACUAUUUUUAAGUUUUUAUUUUUUUUUAUUUUGUAAUCUUUGG